rnacentral:rRNA from 1 species
UACGUAGGGACCAAGCGUUGUUCGGAUUACUGGGCGUAAAGGGCGCGUAGGCGGCGUGGUAAGUCACUUGUGAAAUCUCUGAGCUUAACUCAGAACGGCCAAGUGAUACUGCUGUGCUAGAGUGCAGAAGGGGCAAUCGGAAUUCUUGGUGUAGCGGUGAAAUGCGUAGAUAUCAAGAGGAACACCUGAGGUGAAGACGGGUUGCUGGGCUGACACUGACGCUGAUGCGCGAAAGCCAGGGGAGCAAACAGG